CGUUGAAACACUGGUUCUCGUCCGAUCACCGAAGUUAAGCAAUGUUGAGUCUGGUAAGUAAGAAGUUGUGGGGCCGCUUUGGAAUAUCAGGUGCU